CGGGGCAUGGCGCAGUUUGGUAGCGCAUCUGCUUUGGGAGCAGAGGGUCGCCGGUUCGAGUCCGGCUGCCCCGACCA
rnacentral:tRNA from 1 species